rnacentral:rRNA from 1 species
GAUGAACGCUGGCGGCGUGCCUAAUACAUGCAAGUCGAGCGAACGGACGAGAAGCUUGCUUCUCUGAUGUUAGCGGCGGACGGGUGAGUAACACGUGGAUAACCUACCUAUAAGACUGGGAUAACUUCGGGAAACCGGAGCUAAUACCGGAUAAUAUUUUGAACCGCAUGGUUCAAAAGUGAAAGACGGUCCUGCUGUCACUUAUAGAUGGAUCCGCGCUGCAUUAGCUAGUUGGUAAGGUAACGGCUUACCAAGGCAACGAUGCAUAGCCGACCUGAGAGGGUGAUCGGCCACACUGGAACUGAGACACGGUCCAGACUCCUACGGGAGGCAGCAGUAGGGAAUCUUCCGCAAUGGGCGAAAGCCUGACGGAGCAACGCCGCGUGAGUGAUGAAGGUCUGCGGAUCGUAAAACUCUGUUAUUAGGGAAGAACAUAUGUGUAAGUAACUGUGCACAUCUUGACGGUACCUAAUCAGAAAGCCACGGCUAACUACGU